rnacentral:rRNA from 1 species
AGUGAACGCUGGCGGUAGGCCUAACACAUGCAAGUCGAACGGCAGCACAGUAAGAGCUUGCUCUUACGGGUGGCGAGUGGCGGACGGGUGAGGAAUACAUCGGAAUCUACUUUUUCGUGGGGGAUAACGUAGGGAAACUUACGCUAAUACCGCAUACGACCUACGGGUGAAAGCAGGGGAUCUUCGGACCUUGCGCGAUUGAAUGAGCCGAUGUCGGAUUAGCUAGUUGGCGGGGUAAAGGCCCACCAAGGCGACGAUCCGUAGCUGGCCUGAGAGGAUGAUCAGCCACACUGGAACUGAGACACGGUCCAGACUCCUACGGGAGGCAGCAGUGGGGAAUAUUGGACAAUGGGCGCAAGCCUGAUCCAGCCAUACUGCGUGGGUGAAGAAGGCCUUCGGGUUGUAAAGCCCUUUUGUUGGGAAAGAAAAGCAGCAGGUUAAUACCCCGCUGUUCUGACGGUACCCAAAGAAUAAGCACCGGCUAACUUCGUG